UACGGAGGGUGCAAGCGUUAUCCGGAUUCACUGGGUUUAAAGGGUGCGUAGGUGGGUUGGUAAGUCAGUGGUGAAAUCUCCGAGCUUAACUUGGAAACUGCCAUUGAUACUAUCAGUCUUGAAUAUUGUGGAGGUCAGCGGAAUAUGUCAUGUAGCGGUGAAAUGCUUAGAUAUGACAUAGAACACCAAUUGCGAAGGCAGCUGGCUACGCAUAUAUUGACACUGAGGCACGAAAGCGUGGGGGAUCAAAACAGG
rnacentral:rRNA from 1 species